rnacentral:rRNA from 1 species
GAUCUACCCAUGUCCAGGAUGAAGGUAAGGUAAUACUUACUGGAGGUCCGAACCCACGCACGUUGAAAAGUGCGGGGAUGAGGUGUGGGUAGCGGAGAAAUUCCAAUCGAACUUGGAGAUAGCUGGUUCUCUCCGAAAUAGCUUUAGGGCUAGCCUCGAGGUAAAGAGUCAUGGAGGUAGAGCACUGUUUGGACUAGGGGCCCUUCUCGGGUUACCGAAUUCAGAUAAACUCCGAAUGCCAUGUACUUAUACUCGGGAGUCAGACUGCGAGUGAUAAGAUCCGUAGUCGAAAGGGAAACAGCCCAGACCACCAGUUAAGGUCCCCAAAUAUAUGUUAAGUGGAAAAGGAUGUGGGGUUGCUUAGACAACCAGGAUGUUGGCUUAGAAGCAGCCACCAUUGAAAGAGUGCGUAAUAGCUCACUGGUCGAGUGACCCCGCGCCGAAAAUGUACCGGGGCUAAACAUAUUACCGAAACUGUGGAUGAACCUCUUUAGAGGUUCGUGGUAGGAGAGCGUUCUAAGGGCGGUGAAGUCAGACCGGAAGGACUGGUGGAGCGCUUAGAAGUGAGAAUGCCGGUAUGAGUAGCGAAAGAAGGGUGAGAAUCCCUUCCACCGAAUAUCUAAGGUUUCCUGAGGAAGGCUCGUCCGCUCAGGGUUAGUCGGGACCUAAGCCGAGGCCGAUAGGCGUAGGCGAUGGACAACAGGUAGAGAUUCCUGUACCAGUGCUAAUUGUUUAACCGAUGGGGUGACACAGAAGGAUAGGGAAUCGCACGAAUGGAAAUGUGCGUCCAAGCAGUGAGUGUGAGAAGUAGGCAAAUCCGCUUCUCGCGAAGCAUGAGCUGUGAUGGGGAAGGAAAUUAAGUACGGAAGUUCCUGAUUUCACGCUGUCAAGAAAAGCCUCUAGGAAGAGUAGUACUGCCCGUACCGCAAACCGACACAGGUAGAUGAGGAGAGAAUCCUAAGGUGAGCGAGAGAACUCUCGUUAAGGAACUCGGCAAAAUGACCCCGUAACUUCGGGAGAAGGGGUGCUCUAUUAGGGUGCAAGCCCGAGAGAGCCGCAGUGAAUAGGCCCAGGCGACUGUUUAGCAAAAACACAGGUCUCUGCAAAACCGUAAGGUGACGUAUAGGGGCUGACGCCUGCCCGGUGCUGGAAGGUUAAGAGGAGUGCUUAGCUUCGGCGAAGGUACGAAUUGAAGCCCCAGUAAACGGCGGCCGUAACUAUAACGGUCCUAAGGUAGCGAAAUUCCUUGUCGGGUAAGUUCCGACCCGCACGAAAGGCGCAACGAUCUGGGCACUGUCUCAACGAGAGACUCGGUGAAAUUAUAGUACCUGUGAAGAUGCAGGUUACCCGCGACAGGACGGAAAGACCCCGUGGAGCUUUACUGCAACCUGAUAUGGAAUGUUUGUACCGCUUGUACAGGAUAGGUAGGAGCCGAAGAGACGUGUGCGCUAGCAUACGAGGAGGCAAUGGUGGGAUACUACCCUGGCUGUAUGACCAUUCUAACCCGCCACGCUUAGCGCGUGGGGAGACAGUGUCAGGUGGGCAGUUUGACUGGGGCGGUCGCCUCCUAAAGAGUAACGGAGGCGCCCAAAGGUUCCCUCAGAAUGGAUGGAAAUCAUUCGCAGAGUGUAAAGGCACAAGGGAGCUUGACUGCGAGACUGACAAGUCGAGCAGGGACGAAAGUCGGGCUUAGUGAUCCGGUGGUUCCGCAUGGAAGGGCCAUCGCUCAACGGAUAAAAGCUACCCCGGGGAUAACAGGCUUAUCUCCCCCAAGAGUCCACAUCGACGGGGAGGUUUGGCACCUCGAUGUCGGCUCGUCGCAUCCUGGGGCUGUAGUCGGUCCCAAGGGUUGGGCUGUUCGCCCAUUAAAGCGGCACGCGAGCUGGGUUCAGAACGUCGUGAGACAGUUCGGUCCCUAUCCGUCGCGGGCGCAGGAAAUUUGAGAGGAGCUGUCCUUAGUACGAGAGGACCGGGAUGGACACACCGCUGGUGUACCAGUUGUUCCGCCAGGAGCAUCGCUGGGUAGCUAUGUGUGGCAGGGAUAAACGCUGAAAGCAUCUAAGCGUGAAGCCCCCCUCAAGAUGAGAUUUCCCAUUUCUUCGGAAAGUAAGAUCCCUGAAAGAUGAUCAGGUAGAUAGGUUUGGAGUGGAAGUGUAGCGAUACAUGGAGCGGACAAAUACUAAUCGAUCGAGGACUUAACCAAAA